GAAUGGGGAGUGGGCGGUAUUUUACAUGGGGGUGACGGGAGUAGUGAGGUUUGUCGGGAUUAAGGUUAGUUAAGAGAAUAUAUGUCGUGACCGGCCUCACAUUCCAGUUGGCGGCGGUGAAUGCACCUGUCAAUUGUUUGCGAUUCGCCUUUUUAGUGUUGAUAACGAGACGCUGUUUUUUUGUUCCAGUGCUAGCAACCAGGGUCAGUUCAUAUAUAGCGCAGUGCUGGCAAGCUCGUAAUUCAGACCUCCAGCAGCUCAUUGUCUCUAAGGAAGCGGUUCCCCCUGAGCAGCAACACUGUGAGAAGGAAUGGAGCCCCAAUCUGGGGCAGGAGGUAAAAGAGGAACAGGAAGAACUCCGGACCAGUCAAGUGGAAAAGCAGCUUCAAGGGCUGGAGGAAGAGUUCAUAUUCUCUCCUGCCUUUGUGAAAAGUCACUAUGAUCAGGUUUCAAGUUGGACCUCACAUUUUCCCAGCACCUAAAAUGAACAGAUCAACACAGAAUCUGAUGGAGAGGACUACAGAUUAUUUGAACCAACCAGUGACUCCCAGACCCUCGCUGCAGUUAAUCUAGACUGUUCUGUAGCUAACUCCAUGGGUUCUCUAGUUUGUCAUAUGAAAAUGCAUGCGAAGGACGCAGACGAUAGUGGUGUGUGUGAAAAAAACGUUGAUUCCACAGAGAGUAUGCAAGAUCACCUCCAAACUCAUAUUGACACUAGGUUUUCUUGUGAUGUUUGUAGUAAAUGUUUUACUAUGAGUAGUAAACUGAAAAUGCAUAUGAGGUGCCACAGGCGGAAUCUACUUCCAUGCCCUUUUUGUGGUAAAUAUUCCAACAGUGCAGCUAAUCUGAAAGUACACAUCAGGACACACACAGGUGAGAAACCUUAUCAGUGCCGGGAUUGUGAGAAAUGUUUCAGCUGUAAAUCUAAUCUGAAAAAACACAUCAGAUGUCACACAGGGGAGAAACCGUAUCACUGACCCGACUGUGGCAAAGGAUUUACUCAGAGUGCCCAUAUGGGUAUGCAUAUGAGGAUUCACACAGGGUAGAAACCACAUAGCUGUAGUGUAUGUGGCAGGUCUUUUAGCAAUGGCCCUCAUCUUAAAGUGCACAUGAGGGCCCAUACAGGUGAAAAACCAUAUAAUUGCAGUCUUUGUGAUAAAUGUUUUAGUAGUCAUUCUGGUCUGACAGUUCACACAAGGACUCACACAGGGGAGAAACCGUAUAUGUCCUUUAUGCAAAAAAGGCUUUACAUCAGCAAGUAAUUUAAAGGCCCACAAAAAGCGCCAUACUAAAAGUAAAAACCGUGUAGGUGUUAUGGUUGUGGCAAAUGCUUCACUACAAAGGAGUCCUAAUGAUGGCAUCAGUGGGAAUAAAUGAAAAUGCUUUGUGGGGGAAAACAGCAUCAUUGAGGACUGAGAGAGACAUUGUAGCUACAAUCUGUGAGAGGAGAUAUGCCUCAGUAUACUGCUCUUGGUUGAAUAAGAUGAGACUGAAUUAGUUUUUUAACUAGCGGAAUAUCGUAAGAAGCCCACAUGUCAAACAGAGAUCAGUUAGUGGAUUUCUGAGCAACAGGAGUCACUGCCCAGUACCCAUCAUUCGGCAUAAUCUGAAAGCCCAGAACAAAUCCUGCGUGCAUGGACCCAUCUGAUUCUGGGUGCUGUGUGUUGGUGUUGAAAUCUGCACAUUACUGUUUCAUGUACAGUUCUACGCGUAUUGUUCUUGUGGUCUAACAAUGUACCCACUGUAUGUUAUACAUUUUUGUACUUAGCACCUAGAGGUUGUAAUUGUCCAGAAGGUAUCACAGAAUAAAUGUAUUGUUUACAUUCA